UACAUAGGGUGCGAGCGUUAAUCGGAAUUACUGGGCGUAAAGCGUGCGCAGGCGGUUUUGUAAGCCAGAUGUGAAAUCCCCGGGCUUAACCUGGGAAUGGCAUUUGGGACUGCAAGGCUGGAGUGCGGCAGAGGAGACUGGAAUUCCUGGUGUAGCAGUGAAAUGCGUAGAUAUCAGGAGGAAUACCGAUGGCGAAGGCAGGUCUCUGGGCUGACACUGACGCUCAUGCACGAAAGCGUGGGGAGCAAACAGG
rnacentral:rRNA from 1 species